rnacentral:rRNA from 1 species
CCUACGGGUGGCAGCAGUGAGGAAUAUUGGUCAAUGGGCGAGAGUCUGAACCAGCCAAGUCGCGUGAGGGAAGACGGCCCUAUGGAUUGUAAACUUCUUUUGUCGGGGAGCAAAACGCGGCACGUGUACCGCAUUGCGAGUACCCGGUGAAAAAGCAUCGGCUAACUCCGUGCCAGCAGCCGCGGUAAUACGGAGGAUGCGAGCGUUAUCCGGAUUUAUUGGGUUUAAAGGGUGCGCAGGGGGCGAGUUAAGUCAGCGGGAAAAUUUCGGGGCUAAACCUCGACAAGCCAUUGACUCUGGACGCCUUGAGUACACUAGAGGCAGGCGGAAUUCGUGGUGUAGCGGUGAAAUGCAUAGAUAUCACGAAGAACCCCGAUUGCGAAGGCAGCCUGCCGGGGUGCGACUGACGCUGAGGCUCGAAAGUGCGGGUAUCAAACAGGAUUAGAUACCCUAGUAGUC